GGGCCGGUAGCUCAGCAUGGUUAGUGUUGCACAGACGGCCAGAGCGCGUGACUGAUAAUCACGAGGUCAGGAGUUCAAAUCUCCCCCGGCCCA
rnacentral:tRNA from 1 species